rnacentral:rRNA from 1 species
CCCUUAGAUGUCCUGGGCCGCACGCGCGCUACACUGAGUGUCCGAGAUACGAGUCUGCCUGGUCCGGCAAGGUCUAGGUAAUCGCUAAAAGACACAUCAUGCUUGGGAUAGAUUAUUGCAAAUAUUAAUCUUGAACGAGGAAUUCCUAGUAAGCGCAAGUCAACAGCUUGCGUUGAUUACGUCCCUGCCCUUUGUACACACCGCCCGUCGCUACUACUGAUUGGAUGUUUAAGCGAGGUUCUCGAACUGCUAGCGACUUAGCUUCGGUGAGGUCGCAGUGUGGGAAGUGAACCUAGCUUUGGUGUCUAGAGGAAGUAAAAGUCGUAACA